GAUCGCCAAAAUGUCACGUAAAGUUGGUACUUGGGUUGCGAGAGAAAAGAAAGCUGAGUCGUAGCCCAACUAUUAAUUCUCUUUUAUCGAACUUUAUUAUGACUUUGGCACUUACAGUAGAAUAACGUUGAACAGAGAAAGGGGUGUUGUACAAGAACAGCAACUAGAACGAGAACUCCCCGGGCUGGGUGAAGUCUCGGCUUAUAUACACCCUGGCUUGGGGAUGUUGGGGGGUUUGGUGUGGAUUCCAAGGAGUCCGAAAGUCGGGGUUGGGGCCUUAUCUCUGAUGGGGACUAAGAUGCGUCGCGGCGUUGGCGUCCGACAGUCGGGAGUCGAUGUCUUUUCUCUGAGAGGUAAUUGGUGUCACACGGUCAACGGGACGAACUCUCCAUCUAACAAAGGCAUUAAGUAAUCCUAUAGCUCUCCUUAAAAGAAAGAUUUGUAGCGGCACAUGGCAGUAAACAUUCCAACGGUUUCUGUCCCGUAGCUCGCCACACGCAGAUCCUAUUCUCCGGGCAGGAUGUUUACCAGAUGUCGACGCGUCUCCACAGUACGCGAUCGGCUAGCCCGAGGACCGUCAUAAACACUAAUAUCUAGUUACCUAAAAUCCUUCAACAGAUACACAGUCUUUGUCCCAGUUACGGGAAGACAGGAGAGACCUAUUUUUCCACGAACGACGUCUCCCACUAGCAACCCUCCCUCAAGGGCGGCUAGCAUCCUUUUCUAACUACCGAUAUGGAGAUUGGCCAAUUAGCAGCAACGUCAAUUUCCCUUACUUUCCGAACGUAGGAUGUCCCCGACGAAUCCGAUGAUCUCUUUUCCUCUGGCGUAUCACCGGGACGGAAAGUCAUUCUCUCUUGCGACCUCACCGACAAAAAGGGAUUAACGCCUUACGGUCAGUGAAUAUCAACACAGAAUCCGACUUAGAUUUUUGCGAGUGCGUACGACUACCGUCCCGUUGUCCGCGGACUCGUUAUCGAACCUAAGACCAUUGUCACUAGCGUCGCGAGUGUGUGGUCAUUGUGAGUUUGUGUCAACUCUGUAACAAUUUCGUGUGUGUCAAUAAAAAUAACUUCAGUGUAAAAGAAAA